AGUGAACGCUGGCGGUAGGCCUAACACAUGCAAGUCGAACGGCAGCACAGUAAGAGCUUGCUCUUACGGGUGGCGAGUGGCGGACGGGUGAGGAAUACAUCGGAAUCUACUUUUUCGUGGGGGAUAACGUAGGGAAACUUACGCUAAUACCGCAUACGACCUACGGGUGAAAGCAGGGGAUCUUCGGACCUUGCGCGAUUGAAUGAGCCGAUGUCGGAUUAGCUAGUUGGCGGGGUAAAGGCCCACCAAGGCGACGAUCCGUAGCUGGUCUGAGAGGAUGAUCAGCCACACUGGAACUGAGACACGGUCCAGACUCCUACGGGAGGCAGCAGUGGGGAAUAUUGGACAAUGGGCGCAAGCCUGAUCCAGCCAUACCGCGUGGGUGAAGACGGCCUUCGGGUUGUAAAGCCCUUUUGUUGGGAAAGAAAAGCAGCAGGUUAAUACCCCGCUGUUCUGACGGUGCCCAAAGAAUAAGCACCGGCUAACUUCGUG
rnacentral:rRNA from 1 species